CUCCUCCAUCCUGGGCCCCAAAGCAGCCCCAACUGUGCCUGGCCCCCCUCCAUCCUGGGCCCCAAAGCAGCCCCAACUGUGCCUGGUCCUCCUCCAUCCUAGGCCCCAAGGCACAGGCUGUGCCUGGGCUCCCUUUCGUCUGGGCCCAGACAAGGCCUCAACUGUGCCUGCUCCAGCCCGGGCCCCAAAUCUGCCCCAUCUGUGCCAGGCCCCACUCCAGCCCAGGCCCAAAAGCAGCCCCAACUGUGCCUGGUCCUCCUCCAUCCUGGGCCCCAAAGCAGCCCCAACUGUGCCUGGCCCCCCUCCAUCCUGGGCCCCAAAGCAGCCCCAACUGUGCCUGGUCCUCCUCCAUCCUAGGCCCCAAGGCACAGGCUGUGCCUGGGCUCCCUUUCGUCUGGGCCCAGACAAGGCCUCAACUGUGCCUGCUCCAGCCCGGGCCCCAAAUCUGCCCCAUCUGUGCCAGGCCCCACUCCAGCCCAGGCCC
ensembl:lncRNA